rnacentral:rRNA from 1 species
CCUACGGGGCGCAGCAGUGGGGAAUAUUGCACAAUGGGGGAAACCCUGAUGCAGCGACGCCGCGUGAGUGAAGAAGUAUCUCGGUACGUAAAGCUCUAUCAGCAGGGAAGAAAAUGACGGUACCUGACUAAGAAGCCCCGGCUAACUACGUGCCAGCAGCCGCGGUAAUACGUAGGGGGCAAGCGUUAUCCGGAUUUACUGGGUGUAAAGGGAGCGUAGACGGCAGCACAAGUCUGGAGUGAAAUCCCGGGGCUUAACCCCGGAACUGCUUUGGAAACUGUGCGGCUGGAGUGCAGGAGGGGUAAGCGGAAUUCCUAGUGUAGCGGUGAAAUGCGUAGAGAUCGGGAGGAACACCAGUGGCGAAGGCGGUUUACUGGACCACAACUGACGCUGAGACACGAAAGCGUGGGGAGCAAACAGGAUUAGAUACCCCGGUAGUC